GUUCGCACUUGCAUCGCGAGAGACCGGCUGCCCUUCCGACACGAAUUUCCGGAGCUUUUUUACCGUUGUCGGUCUUGUUCUGAGUGGGCGAUCGCGCGUUUCCGGUCGUACUUCCGCGUCAUCGUGUCGAAAUAUCGUGACGAGAUAAAGAAGCUCGUAAAUUCUCGUGAAAAUCGCAGGCCGACUACAACUAUCGCGUCGCCAUUAUUAUUGUUUUAUUUCAAUAAGGUACAACACUUUCUCGGGAAUUGUCAAGUCGGAAUAUUUAGCAAAAGAGCGAGAAGCACAUAGAUUAAUUGUAUAAUAUCGAGAUCGGAGAAGAAGAAUAAAAUCGAAUGCCACGAAGAAAUAGCAGUGAAAUAGAGUGAAGAGAGAGGAGAAGGUCCGAGGUGGCAUCAAGAAAUGGCUAGGUUAACAUGAGAUCAACGUAGCUGACAUUGACAAAUUGAGUAAGACAUUUUGCUGUGCCAAGUGCGGGAGUGCCGUCUAAACUGUCGGGCGUUUUAGUGCGGGAGUGCCGUUUAUCGCGCGUGUAAAUCAAAAGAUUUUAAUUUACAAACAGUCCUGACCAAUCUGAGAGGAGGAACAGGCCUAGGAGGCAUCGGGAACCGAUGGAGCAACCUUGGGGUCAACGUAGCUGACAUCGACAAAUUGAGUAAGACAUUUUGCCGUGAAAAGUGCGGAAGUGCCAUCUAAAAGUGUCGAGCGUUCUAGUGCGGGAGUGCCGUUUAAAUUGCACGUGUAAAUCAAAGGAUUUUGAUCAACCUGAGAGGAAGAGCAGGCCAGGAGGCAACGGGUGCCAGCGGAGCAACCUUGAGAUCAGCGUAGCUACAAUGCAGAUUAACUCCGCUGUUGUGCAUCGGUCGGUGAGUCGUAUUAAAUAAUGUAUGUAUUUUUAUA